AUAGAACGCUGGCGGCAGGCCUAACACAUGCAAGUCGAGCGGUAGCACAGGGAGCUUGCUCCUGGGUGACGAGCGGCGGACGGGUGAGUAAUGUCUGGGAAACUGCCUGAUGGAGGGGGAUAACCACUGGAAACGGUAGCUAAUACCGCAUAACGUCGCAAGAUCAAAGAGGGGGACCCACCGGCCUCUUGCCAUCAGAUCUGCCCAGAUGGGAUUAGCUAGUAGGUGGGGUAACGGCUCACCGAGGCGACGAUCCCUAGCUGGUCUGAGAGGAUGACCAGCCACACUGGAAAGGAGACACGGUCCAGAGUCCUACGGGAGGCAGCAGUGGGGAAAAUUGCACAAUGGGCGCAAGCCUGAUGCAGCCAUGCCGCGUGUAUGAAGAAGGCCUUCGGGUUGUAAAGUACUUUCAGCGGGGAGGAAGGUGUUGAGGUUAAUAACCUCAGCAAUUGACGUUACCCGCAGAAGAAGCACCGGCUAACUCCGUGCCAGCCGCCGCCGUAA
rnacentral:rRNA from 1 species